UCACGAGUGGUAGAGUCAGCGUCGGUAGUCCGGUCGGUGCAUACGUUAAUCGGAAUGACUGGGGGUGAAUGGGGGUCAGGCGGUGUCGUAAGUCGGAUGUGAAAGCCCCGGGCUCAAACUGGGAAGUGCAGUUGAAACGAAGAGAUGAGAGUUGCGUAGAGGUGGGUAGAAUGCCCGGUGUAGAGGUGAAAUUCGUAGAUAUCUGGAGGAACACCAGGGGCGAAGGCGACCAACUGGACGAAAACUGACGCUGAGACACGAAAGCGUGGGGAGCAAACAGGAUUAGAUACCCCAGUAGUC
rnacentral:rRNA from 1 species